GUAGGUGGCAAGCGUUGUCCGGGAAUUAUUGGGGCGUAAAGCGCGCGCAGGCGGUUCUUUAAGUCUGAUGUGAAAGCCCACGGGCUCAACCGUGGAGGGUCAUUGGAAACUGGAGAACUUGAGUACAGAAGAGGAAAGCGGAAUUCCACGUGUAGCGGUGAAAUGCGUAGAGAUGUGGAGGAACACCAGUGGCGAAGGCGGCUUUCUGGUCUGUAACUGACGCUGAGGCGCGAAAGCGUGGGGAGCAAACAGGAUUAGAUACCCUGGUAGUCCACGCCGUAAACGAUGAGUGCUAAGUGUUAGGGGGUUUCCGCCCCUUAGUGCUGCGGCUAAUGCAUUAAGCACUCCGCCUGGGGAGUACGGCCGCAAAGGCUGA
rnacentral:rRNA from 1 species